rnacentral:misc_RNA from 1 species
ACCAACCCUACCUAGUCUCAACAAUGAAGGUGGCCAUUCUUUUCGCUGUUCUGUGUGUUGUUCACUAUACAUGUGCUGAAACAUGUUCGGCCACUGCCGAUUGUCAGAAUACCAAGUGUGACGCAGCCCAUGAUUUGGAGUGCCAUCGUGGCCAGUGCACAUGCGUCAAUCACUCCACCUGUAAGCUAUCUUAACUACAGAUCUACGAAAAAAUCAUGCAAAUAUGAGAAAAUGCAGUGACAUCAAUUUUUAAGCUUAUUAGAAUGUUUUCACAGUUUUAAAAGUGUAAUUUUUGAGGUCAAAAACAUUACCUAACAACUUUUCUGGAGUUAAAUGCCUAUUAAACACUUCUAUGUACUUCGCUGUAAAAAUUAAUUUAGUCUUUAGUAGGAAGGUAUUUUUUCAGUGCAUGGGAAUUAGGUUUUGUUAGUUUUGGAGAAACAGUUCAGUUUAUCUUAGGAAAGACUUAGAUCAGUGUACGAUGAGAGGGGUAUGUCCAACGUUAGUUCGGGAGGGGAGGGGAGGUGAGGGGGGAACAAAAUUUUUUUAUCGAUUGAUCAGCAGUUACAUGUAGAGUCAAUGGUCGGUCGACCGGGAACAACCAUUUUUAAAAAUUUUAGUGUAAUAAAACGUCAAUCAAUUUAAGUUUAGAAUACGAUGGCAUGUUUUACAACAUAUCUCUGAUGAUUUCAGCAUGUACUACUGCUUCCGACUGCUCUGGAACCUGUCAUAUCUUUGGACGUAACGGAAGAUGGCACUGUAUUGAUGCAAAAUGCCGCUGCUUCUUCGUCUAAUAAAUUAGAUAUA